GACGAACGCUGGCGGCGUGCCUAAUACAUGCAAGUAGAACGCUGAAGGAGGAGCUUGCUUCUCUGGAUGAGUUGCGAACGGGUGAGUAACGCGUAGGUAACCUGCCUGGUAGCGGGGGAUAACUAUUGGAAACGAUAGCUAAUACCGCAUAAGAGUAGAUGUUGCAUGACAUUUGCUUAAAAGUUGCAAUUGCAUCACUACCAGAUGGACCUGCGUUGUAUUAGCUAGUUGGUGAGGUAACGGCUCACCAAGGCAACGAUACAUAGCCGACCUGAGAGGGGGAUCGGCCAACAUGGGACUGGGACAAGGGCCAGACUCCUACGGGGAGGAGCAGUAGGGAAACUUCGGCAAUGGACGGAAGUCUGAACGAGCAAAGCCGGGGGAGGGAAGAAGGGUUUCGGAUCGGAAAGCUCUGUUGUAAGAGAAGAAAGAGUGGGAGAGUGGAAAGUUCACACUGUGACGGUAUCUUACCAGAAAGGGACGGCUAACUACGUG
rnacentral:rRNA from 1 species